GUGAGGAAUUUUCCGCAAUGGGCGAAAGCCUGACGGAGCAAUGCCGCGUGAAGGAUGAAGGCCUAUGGGUUGUAAACUUCUUUUCUCAGAAAAGAAUUAUGACGGUAUCUGAGGAAUAAGCAUCGGCUAACUCUGUGCCAGCAGCCGCGGUAAGACAGAGGAUGCAAGCGUUAUCCGGAGUGAUUGGGCGUAAAGCGUCUGUAGGUUGUUUAAAAAGUAUUCUGUCAAAGAUUAGGGCUUAACCCUAGAUAGGCAGAAUAAACUUUUAAGCUAGAGUUUGGUAGAGGCAGAGGGAAUUCCCGGUGGAGCGGUGAAAUGCGUAGAUAUCGGGAGGAACACCAAAGGCGAAGGCACUCUGCUGGGCCAAUACUAACACUGAGAGACGAAAGCGAGGGGAGCAAAUGGGAUUAGAUACCCGUGUAGUCC
rnacentral:rRNA from 1 species